rnacentral:rRNA from 1 species
UGGGGAAUAUUGCACAAUGGGCGCAAGCCUGAUGCAGCCAUGCCGCGUGUAUGAAGAAGGCCUUCGGGUUGUAAAGUACUUUCAGCGGGGAGGAAGGCGAUAAGGUUAAUAACCUUGUCGAUUGACGUUACCCGCAGAAGAAGCACCGGCUAACUCCGUGCCAGCAGCCGCGGUAAUACGGAGGGUGCAAGCGUUAAUCGGAAUUACUGGGCGUAAAGCGCACGCAGGCGGUCUGUCAAGUCGGAUGUGAAAUCCCCGGGCUCAACCUGGGAACUGCAUUCGAAACUGGCAGGCUAGAGUCUUGUAGAGGGGGGUAGAAUUCCAGGUGUAGCGAUGAAAUGCGUAGAGAUCUGGAGGAAUACCGGUGGCGAAGGCGGCCCCCUGGACAAAGACUGACGCUCAGGUGCGAAAGCGUGGGGAGCAAACAGG